UUUUCAAAGCGUCCCGCCACGACUUUUUUUUUUAUAAAAUAAUCGUUUAAAAUUUUAUAAUUUGUAAAAUAAUUCUGUCAAAUUUAUAUGUGGCAAAUUAAUCCUCUUUUUGCCACAUAAGAUUAUUUUUCUAAAAGCGGUGAAUUGUUCGUUGCGUCCUCGCAUUUCUUUUAAAAGCGUUCUUCCAUUUCUUUUAAAGAAGGUGAAUCGUUUGCGGCAUUCAUUGAAAUAUAAAAAAGUGAAUUAUUCACCGCAUUCAUUGAAAUAGAAAAAAGUGAGAUUGUUAGGAUUAUAUGUGAAUUAUUAGAAUUUUUAUUUGAUUGUUAGUGUUGUAUGGAUUGAUUAUUAGGAUUUUCAGGCUAUUAAGAUUAUAUAAAUUAUAUGGAUAGACUAUUAGGAUCUUUAUACUGUUAAGAUUAUAUAAAAUUAUAUAGAUAAAUUAUUAGGAUUUUCAGGUUGUUAAGAUUAUAUUGAUUUGUUAAACUUUUUAUGUGGUUGUUAGUAUUAUAUAUAAAAUAUAGAAAAAAAUAGAAAAUAAGCGAAAGACAGUGAAUAAUUUAUUAUUUUUAUGAAAAAUUAGGAGUAAAGGUGAUUAAUGAUUCACCAUCUUCAAAGAAAAUUUUUAUCCUGGUACCUACAUGGCAAAAUGAGG
rnacentral:lncRNA from 1 species